GACGAACGCUGGCGGCGUGCUUAACACAUGCAAGUCGAACGGAAAGGCCCUGCUUUUGUGGGGUGCUCGAGUGGCGAACGGGUGAGUAACACGUGAGUAACCUGCCCUUGACUUUGGGAUAACUUCAGGAAACUGGGGCUAAUACCGGAUAGGAGCUCCUGCUGCAUGGUGGGGGUUGGAAAGUUUCGGCGGUUGGGGAUGGACUCGCGGCUUAUCAGCUUGUUGGUGGGGUAGUGGCUUACCAAGGCUUUGACGGGUAGCCGGCCUGAGAGGGUGACCGGCCACAUUGGGACUGAGAUACGGACCAGACUCCUACGGGAGGCAGCAGUGGGGAAUAUUGCACAAUGGGCGGAAGCCUGAUGCAGAAACGCUGCGUGCGGGAUGACGGCCUUCGGGUUGUAAACCGCUUUCGCCUGUGACGAAGAGUGAGUGACGGUAAUGGGUAAAGAAGCACCGGCUAACUACGUG
rnacentral:rRNA from 1 species